rnacentral:lncRNA from 1 species
AUUUUAGUACAAGGGUUGCUUGUGGCAUGGUGUAUAUUAGGUGUGUUCAUGCAGUCCUGGGACAAGAUGGCCUUUUAGCUUACCAAUAGUUUUAUUUAAAGCAUAUUAGAUUUUAGUGUCAUAACCAUAUAUUUGGCAUUUAAACCUAGCCGUUAGAGUCUUUGAAGACUUGCCAACAAUCCCAAUGCACUUUCUUAACUUAUUGAAAUCCCCCAUAACAUAACCCCAGGAAUGAUUCUUAUGCACAUACUAACAUAGAAUAUUAGACAAAACCACUUAUGACAUGGCAAAAGAGAUGCAUAAGAUCCCAUGGAUAUUUAGAAAAGUUGGCAGAUAUCAAUCAAUGACUACCACAUUACUGUUUUAUUUUAAGGUCAAACAUGUUUUCCUGAUUUUAUGCUGAUCUUUUGUGAAUCAAAAACAAGUAUUUGUUUUUAACAGAGUACAAACCAAGGUUAAGGUAUUGUAAAUGGUAGGGAAUCUGAAAAGAAAAGAAAUAAAAAUACAAC